rnacentral:lncRNA from 1 species
UUUUUUUUUUUCUUUUUUUCUUUUUACAGCUGCACCUGUGGCAUAUAGAAGUUCCUGGGCUAGUGGUCUAAUUGGAGCUGCAGCUGUAGGUCUACACCAUAGCUGCACCAACACUGGAUCUGAGCUGCAUCUGCUAACAAAUACUUUAGAUGCAUAUCACAAGUUUUGAAAUGUAGUACGUUUAGCAUCAUUUAGUAACUUCUGUUUUGAUUUUCUUUUAAUCCAUGGAUAUUUAGAGGUCCAGUUUUUAAUUUCUAAACAUGUAUAUAGUUUUAUUGUUGAUCCAAACUUAAUUAUAUUUUGUUCAGAGAAUAUAGGCUGUAUAAUGUGGAUUCAUUGAAAUUUGUUAGGGCUUUCUUUCUGAUUUAGGUACCUUUAAUUUUUAUUAAUACAUACAAAGGACCUGUAUGCUUUAUUUUUGGCAUAGGAUUUUACAUGUAUCUUAGAUCAAACAUAUUAAUUUGUUGUUCACAUCUUCUAUAGUCUUACUCUAAAAAUUUGAUAUGUCCAUUAUACUUCAUUUAAGAAAGCUAUAACUUGAGAAUUAUUCAUCCUCAUGAUUUUUUCUUGAUUUGGUAAAUAUAUAUUUCAAUACUUUGCUGACUAGAGUAGGUUCAAGAGAGAACUACUGCGUGCGUUCUUGCUGUUUGGUACCUGCAACAUCAUGAUUAACUCACUGAUAUGUUCAGUCCUUCAACAGAUAUUUACAAUUUAUGAUUUGCCCAAUAAUCUUCUGGUUACUAUAACUAGAACAGUGAAGAGCACCACACCCCCAUCGCUACUUUCAAGGAGCUUAAAUCCCAGUGGAGGAAAUAGGUGAUUCAUCUUAAAUCACCAGUCUCUAAGGACAGUAGCUGCAAGUACUGUGACGGAUGAAGCAGAGGAGGGGAGUGGGAUGACAGGCUGGUGAAGGUAGCUGCUGUUGCAGGGGGUGGUCAGAGAAGGCAUCCUGAGGAGGUGGUGCUUGAGAAGGACUGAACAAAGCAAGAAGCUGAGACAUAUGGUACCUGGUGAAGAUCAUUAUAGGCAGAAACAACAGAAUGACCCUAGGAGGGAGUAUGUUAUGUGGAAGAAGCACAACUGGUGUGUUUGAAGAAAAGCAAGAAGGCUAGAGUGACAGGAGAUAACCUUCACUCUGAAAGGAUACCUCUGUUGCCUAUAUGGGAACUAACUGUGGUGAUACAAGAGGAGAUAAGGAGGGCUACUACGGAGGCUAAAGUGACAGCUCAGGUAAGAGAGGUGACAGUUGUUUGCACUACAGAGGCACUGAUAUAAGUGGGGGAUUUGGAAUGCAUUUUGGAAAUUUGGCUCACUGAUUUGCUGGUGAAUUAGAUACCAGAUAGGCAAGAGAGGAAUCAAGGAUGGUUCCUAAGAUUUAGCCUGAACAACUGAGUGAAUGGGAUCACCAUUUAGUGAGAGAGGAGAGACUUGGGAGGAUUAGGUAUAGGGCUAAAAAUGAGGAGCUUCUUUUUAUAGUAUUAACAUGGUGGAGCCUCUUAAUUAUUGUGCCAGUUGUCUGUUUGCUCUCAUAUCCACUCCCUCACCCCCUGUCUCUCUACCCUGAAUCAUGGGGGGCUGUAAUUAAUUCUACCCCCAGUCCCAUCCUCCCUGUGGACACUGCAGCUUAUCUGAGGAGACAGCCAGCAGCUUCUGGUGGGGGUGUGUAGAUGGAGAAGAGAAGAUAGUGGAAGCUUGAGCCCUCAGCUCUGCUAGUGUUGAAAACUGGAGAAAGGCAGAAGGGCCAAGAAGGCAGAGUGGAGAGAAUGGUGUUGCAGCAGAAGAGGGAAGAUGUGGAUGACAACUAGAAACUGACCAUUGGUUUUUGACCAUGAAAGGUCUUUGAUAAUACUUACAAAAGUAUAUAUAUAUAUUUUUUGGAGGAGUAGGAACUAUAGCUUGAGUAGAAAGUGUGCAGUGGACAUGAGCUGGCUCUUAAAGCUUUCAUGAAGGAGAAUUAUGCAUCACUUUUGCUCAUAUUUUCUUGGCCAAAGCAAGUUGCAUGGCCAAGCCUGACUUCAAGAGGUAUAGGAAAUCUAAUUCUUCCAUAGUAAGGGGACAGACAUUUGGAUCUUGGUGGGCUGUGCAAGUCAUAUUCACCUUCACCAUGGCUUCACUUUCCUUCUUCAUGAGACAUAUUCUUUAAUAAUUCCUUUACUCAGCAUCUGUGAGUGGUAAACUUUUAUUUUUACAAGUGUAAAAAAGCCUUUACUUUGCUUUAAUUUUUAAUUAAAUGUUUAGGUAUGUGUAAAAUUUAAAGCUUACUAUUUCUCUCCUUGAGCACUUUGAAAAUAUUAUUCCACUGUCUUUUGACUCAUACAGUUACAAAUGAAAGUUCUGUUGCUAGCUUAAUUGAUGUUAUUUUGUAGGUCAUCUGUCAUUAUGGGGAGGUCUUAGAUUUUAAAAUUUCAUUUGGAUUUAUUUUUCUUUAUUUUUCUCAGAAGUUGGAAUAUACAUUGAACCUAAGGACUCCUGUCUUUCAUCACCUCUGGCAAAUUCUCAGCCAUUAUUUCUUCAGUUCUCUUCUUCGGGAACCCCUAUUGAAUACAUGUUAAAACUACCAAAUUUACUAAUUCUUUUCAGCCUGGUCUAAAAUUUAUCCUAUUACUUUUUCUAUUUCUCUGUUUAUUUUUCUUUCCAAGAUUCUUAGUUAUUCCUAAUUAUUUUUCAUAAGUGUCUUGUUUCACUUCUGUGUUUUUAUCAUAUUAUGUAUUAUUAUAUUUUUUCUGAAUGCUGCUUUUUGGCCAUACUCACCAUAUGUAUUUUGAAGUGUUUGUUAGAGCUAAGAGAAUUCAGCAACACUAACCAGCUUUAAAACAAAUACUAAAGGAGCUUCUCUAGGCAGAAAAGAAAAGGCCACAACUAGAAACAAAAAUACUGCAAAUGACAAGGCUCACUAGUAAAGGCAUAUGUACAGUAAAGAUAGGAGAGCAUCCAUGCACAGUUAUGCUAUCAAAAUCAGAAAUUGUGAGGAGAGGAGGGUACAAACGCAGGACCCUGGAGAUGCACUUGCAAUUAAGAGACCAACAACUUAAAAUGAUCUCGUGUAUAUAAAUAAAUUCCUAUAUCAAAACUUCAGGGCAACUGCAAACCAAAAAUCUACAAUUGAUACACAAACAAAUAAGAAAAAUCAACUCAAUACAACACUAAAGAUAGUCAUCAAACCACAAGAGAAGAAAGGAAGAAAAAAGAGCAACAAAAAGAAAUCCAAAACAGUUAAUAUAAUGGCAAUAAGAACAUACAUAUCAGUAAUUACCUCAAAUGUAAAUGGACUAAGUGCUCCAAACAAAAGACAUAGACUGGCUGAAUGGAUACAAAAACAAGGUCCAUAUAUAUGCUGUCUUCCAGGGACCCCUUCACUUAUAGGAACACAUACAAAUUGAAAGUGAAAGGAUGGCAGAAAAUAUUCCAUCCAAAUGGGAAUCAAAGGAAAGCUGGAGUAGCAAUACUCAUAUCAGACAAAAUAGACUUUAAAAUGAAGUGUUUUUUAGACUGUUUUAUGAUGUUGAUUGAUUUAGAGUGAUUUUAUUUAUUUAUUGUUCUCUUUGCAACCAUUAGUUUUCUCUUUGUUUUGGAAUUUGAGUUUACAAGCUCACUUUAAGUGGGGAAAUUGCUUUUCUUUUCUUUUCUUUUUUUUAUCUUAUCCUUUUCCUUUUUCCUUUCCUCUUUUGCAUAGAGGUUUGGCUGUUGCCUUCACUCAGGCUCUCACAUCCUAUUUAUGGUCAACAUUUUAUAACUGUACAUUUCUGAUGGUACUAGAGAGAAAGCUGAUGUAUUCAGAGCCAGAAGGAAGCUUGGUUUCUCCUACUUUGCCAGAGCUCAGGCUUUCUAACUGCUGAAGCCUCAGGCUUCAUUCAGCAGCAUUUAAAAAACCAAAAAACUCUUUUCAGGAGCAAUGUAGAACCACCUCUAGCUUCUGGCUUUAAGUAGUGAACUUGACUCUAGGUAUCUGCAUGGCCUGGAACCAUUUUAGUCUCCAUUAUUUUGUAAGAGCAAGUGUUAUGACUAACAUCAGAGUCUGAUAAACCAUGGUGUGAGCAUUCUCACUCUCCUCCAUCAUUGUUUCGGGUUUCCAUCUCUUUUUACUUUUUAUUUUAUUUAUUUAUUUAUUUUUUGUCUUUUUUUGCUAUUUCUUGGGCCACUCCCAUGGCAUAUGGAGGUUCCCAGGUUAGGGGUCGAAUCGGAGCUGUAGCCACCGGCCUACGCCAGAGCCACAGCAACGUGGGAUCCAAGCCGCGUCUGCAACCUACACCACAGCUCAUGGCAACGCCGGAUCGUUAACCCACUGAGCAAGGGCAGGGACCGAACCCGCAACCUCAUGGUUCCUAGUCAGAUUCGUUAACCACUGCGCCACGACGAACUCCCCAUCUCUUUUUAGAUCCACAGGAUGAUUCGGCUGUGCCUUGAUACAUCUUUCUUGUUUCUUGUUUAUUUUUCUUUUUGUUAUAUUUUCUUUUCUUUUGGAUCUAUUAUUUGUAAGUGUUUGAAGCAGACAGUUAGAUGAACUUUGGGUUUUGAACUUACUAAGCUAUUCUUGUAGGAAAAACCUGCCUCCAUUUCCACCUCCCCCACCCCUUUAUCCUAAAUACCAUCAAAAAAUUAAAACAUAGAUCAUAAAAUGAAAGGACACAUGUAAAAAAUCCAAAGUGAUGCUUUAAUUUUUUUAGAUUCUGAGAGUAAAGAAGGCAUUGACGCCAUUGUUAAAUAGGACAAUAGCUAUGAGCAUGGACUGUGCCAGUUACUGCCAUAUGACCAGAGUCUUCUCUGUAUUGUGAGGUUAAUAAGUUAAACCCAUUGUAUAGAGCUGUUGAAGGGAUUACAUGGGAUAACGCAUAUGAAAAAGCCCUGCACAGUGCCUGCACAUGGUAAGUAACUGUAGAAAUACACAGUUUUAAGUUAUAGCUCAAGUGUAAUCACUAGCAUUUAUGCUCUGAAGUUUUUUCUAACAGUGGCAGGGAAAGAUAUCUUGUAAGUACAUAAGGCAAUGUUAAGAGGUGCUAGAAUGUCUUUCCUGUUCCUCAAGCAAUGUUUUUGAAAUCUCAUUAUUAGAGAGAAUUUUAUUUGGAUUAGUACAUCUCUCUUUGAAUCAGAUCUCCUCGAAUCAGAGGUUUUCUAUGGCAAAGUUAUGUGUCAAGCUGAGCAGUAGAGGUUUCCACACACCUACCUACCUUUCUGUCAGUUUGGUCAGGUUGUUUUCCUGAUUGCUGAUUGAGAAAAAAAUUAGAGUUAUUUGGGUAGGAAGAACUUAUGACACGCCCAGGGUGGGCAGAUAGAUCUGCAAGGAACAUGCCAGUGGGAUUUCUAGUAACUGGUGAAUUAUACAACACAGAUGGACAGGAGCUUCAGGGGCAGGGAUGAGAGCUCAGGAUGCAUCAUGCAGUCUUGGCUAAGCUGUGCUAUGGCAAUGAACAAUGACAAGAUCUCAGUGGACUACAACAACAAAGGCUUAUUUGGCUCAUGAUUUGUGCCUGUCUGGGAAAAUUUACAGCUCAUGGACAAAGAAAAGGUCAACAUGAUGGAGCCAUGCAAUGACUCUUAAUGUUUCUGCUUGGAAGGGGUGCAUCUCACUUCCACUCACAUUUUAUUGGCCAAAGAAAGUCACAUGGCCAAGCUUGAACUAUGAUACUGUCUCCAGAGCUUAACUGCACACAUGACACUAGCAGAUGCACUCGUGGGAACAAGAAGUAUCAAGUCAUCUAUUGGCUUCCUCAACACUGAGUUCCUACCGUAUCAAGCAGAGGGCACCUGAAUAUGUCACCAUACAAAGUUUCAAAAACGUGAGGGAGUUCCUGUCAUGGCUCAGUGGUUAAUGAACCCAACUAGGAUCCAUGAGGACACGGGUUCAAUCUCUGGCCUUGCUUUGGGUUAAGGAUCUGGCGUUGCUGUGAGCUGUGGUGUAGGUUGCAGACCCAUCUUGGAUCCAUUGUUGCUGUGGCUGUAGCAUAGGCUGGCAGCUACAGCUCCGAUUCAAACCCUAGCCUGGGAACCUCCAUACACCACGGGUGUGGCCCUUAAAAGACAAAAAGACAAAACAAAACAAAAACAAAAACAUGAGGAAUCAGGAAACUCAGUGGAGAUGAAAUAUAAUUACUGUCAAUGUCUAGACUUGUUAUGGACUAAAUUUUCUCCCCUUAAAUUCAUAUAUUAAAAUCCUAACCCCUACUAGCUCAGAGUAUGACUAUAUUUGAAGAUAGGGUCUUUAGACAGGUAAUUAGGUUAAAAUGAGGUCAUUUGAAUGAACCCUAAUUCAAUUUGACUGGUAUCCUUGUAAGAAAAGGAAAUUAAGAUACAGAUACAAACAGAAGGAAGAUGUUGUGAAGACACAGGGAGAAGAUUGUCAUACAAGUCAAGGAAAGGGGCCUCAGGAAAAAACCUAACUUUAUGCUGAGUACUUUUCUUCUCAGUUUUUGUGAAUGUAAUGUUUACUUUUGAUUUGUGGUUGCCCUGUUUUUUAAUCAUGCCCUUCCUAUAUCUGCUUGCUUUUGCCUGAUAGUCAUAUAGCCUUGGACGCAUCAUUAAAGUAAAAAAAAGAAUCUAUAUUUUCUUACUUUCCUUCCCCACAUUAUAUGAUUUUGAUUUUUUUUUUAACAUCUUCAUGUUUAGAUCUGUAUGCUGGUUUAUUUAAGUGAUUGCUUUCCAAUUGUGGUUUCCUCCAUUCUAAUUCUUCUUUUCCUCUUUUACCUAUCUCUCUUCUUUUUUUAAUUGAGAGAGGCCCUUUCAGUAUUUCUUUUAGAAUGGGUUUAGUGUUGCUGUACAGCUGCAUGCAAAUCACUGAAACUAGAACACACCCUCACACCAUGCACAAAAAUAAACUCAAAAUGGCCGAAAGACCUAAAUAUAAGACAAGACACCAUCAAAACUCCUGGAAGAGAACAUAGGCAAAACAUUCUCUGACAUCAGCCUUCCAAAUGUUUUCUCAGGUCAGUCUCCCAAAGCAACAGAAAUAAGAGCAAAACUAAACCAAUGGGACCUAAUCAAACUGACAAGCUUUUGCACAGCAAAGGAAACCAAAAAGAAAACAAAAAGACAACUUACAGAAUGGGAGAAAACAGUUUCAAAUGAUGCAACGGACAAGGGCUGAAUCUCUUAAACUAUACAAACAACUUAUACAACUGAACAGCCAAAAAGGCAACAACCCAAUGGAAAAAUGGGCAAAAGGUCUGAAUAGACAUUUUUCCAAGGAAGAUAGACAGAUGGCCAACAAGCACAUGAAAAAAUGCUCAA